rnacentral:rRNA from 1 species
UACAGAGGUCUCGAGCGUUGUUCGGAUUCAUUGGGCGUAAAGGGUGCGUAGGUGGCGCUGUAAGUCGGGUGUGAAAUCUCGGAGCUUAACUCCGAAACUGCAUUCGAUACUGCCGUGCUUGAGGACUGGAGAGGAGACUGGAAUUUACGGUGUAGCGGUGAAAUGCGUAGAUAUCGUAAGGAAGACCAGUGGCGAAGGCGGGUCUCUGGACAGUUCCUGACGCUGAGGCACGAAGGUCAGGGGAGCAAACGGG